CACAUGCAGUCGAGCGGUAGAGAGAAGCUUGCUUCUCUUGAGAGCGGCGGACGGGUGAGUAAUACCUAGGAAUCUGCCUGAUAGUGGGGGAUAACGUUCGGAAACGGACGCUAAUACCGCAUACGUCCUACGGGAGAAAGCAGGGGACCUUCGGGCCUUGCGCUAUCAGAUGAGCCUAGGUCGGAUUAGCUAGUUGGUGAGGUAAUGGCUCACCAAGGCUACGAUCCGUAACUGGUCUGAGAGGAUGAUCAGUCACACUGGAACUGAGACACGGUCCAGACUCCUACGGGAGGCAGCAGUGGGGAAUAUUGGACAAUGGGCGAAAGCCUGAUCCAGCCAUGCCGCGUGUGUGAAGAAGGUCUUCGGAUUGUAAAGCACUUUAAGUUGGGAGGAAGGGCAUUAACCUAAUACGUUGGUGUCUUGACGUUACCGACAGAAUAAGCACCGGCUAACUCUGUGCCAGCAGCCGCGGUAAUACAGAGGGUGCAAGCGUUAAUCGGAAUUACUGGGCGUAAAGCGCGCGUAGGUGGUUUGUUAAGUUGAAUGUGAAAUCCCCGGGCUCAACCUGG
rnacentral:rRNA from 1 species